rnacentral:rRNA from 1 species
UACGUAGGGACCAAGCGUUGUUCGGAUUUACUGGGCGUAAAGGGCGCGUAGGCGGCAUGACAAGUCACUUGUGAAAUCUCCGGGCUUAACUCGGAACGGUCAAGUGAUACUGUCGCGCUAGAGUGCGGAAGGGGCAAUCAGAAUUCUUGGUGUAGCGGUGAAAUGCGUAGAUAUCAAGAGGAAUACCUGAGGUGAAGACGGGUUGCUAGGCCGACACUGACGCUGAUGCGCGAAAGCCAGGGGAGCGAACGGG